AUUGAACGCUGGCGGCAGGCUUAACACAUGCAAGUCGAACGAGCGGCGGACGGGUGAGUAAUGUCUGGGAAACUCACUUAUGGAGGGGGAUAACUACUGGAAACUUUAGCUAAUACCUCAUCCCAUAAGAUGAGCCCAAAGGGGAUUCGCUAGUUGGUGGGGUAAAGGCUCACCAAGCCGACGAUCUCUAGCUGGUCUGAGAGGAUGACCAGCCACACGGGGACUGAGACACGGCCAAGACUCCGACGGGAGGCAGCAGUGGGGAAUAUUGCGCAAUGGGGGCAACCUGAUGCAGCCAUGCCGCGUGAAUGAAGAAGGCCUUCGGGUUGUAAAGCUCUUUCGGUAGCGAGGCGUUAACUACAGAAGAAGCACCGGCUAACUCCGUGCCAGCAGCCGCGGUAAUAC
rnacentral:rRNA from 1 species